rnacentral:rRNA from 1 species
AAGGGAUCGGCCCGCGUUGGAUUAGGUAGUUGGUGGGGUAAUGGCCUACCAAGCCGACGAUCCAUAGCUGGUUUGAGAGGAUGAUCAGCCACACUGGGACUGAGACACGGCCCAGACUCCUGCGGGAGGCAGCAGUGGGGAAUCUUAGACAAUGGGCGCAAGCCUGAUCUAGCCAUGCCGCGUGAGCGAUGAAGGCCUUAGGGUUGUAAAGCUCUUUCAGGGGGGAAGAUAAUGACUGUACUCGCAGAAGAAGCCCCGGCUAACUCCGUGCCAGCAGCCGCGGUAAUACGGAGGGGGCUAGCGUUGUUCGGAAUUACUGGGCGUAAAGCGCACGUAGGCGGACUGGAAAGUCAGGGGUGAAAUCCCGGGGCUCAACCUUGGAACUGCCUUUGAAACUCCCGGUCUUGAGGUCGAGAGAGGUGAGUGGAAUUCCGAGUGUAGAGGUGAAAUUCGUAGAUAUUCGGAGGAACACCAGUGGCGAAGGCGGCUCACUGGCUCGAUACUGACGCUGAGGUGCGAAAGCGUGGGGAGCAAACAGGAUUAGAU